UUUCCGUAGGUGAACCUGCGGAAGGAUCAUUACUGAUUUGAAUAUGUUAGCGGACCUCCUCGGGGUCCCCAGCAUCGAAUCAUAGGCAUGACACCUGUGAACUGGAAGGCUGUCUUGAAAACUAAAGUGAUUAUAUCGCUUUCCCAUUUUAUGCGAACAUUAAAUUAAAAAACAUAGUUUUAUUAUAAUCUUAUAAAACUUCCAACAACGAAUCACAUGGCUCUCGCAUCGAUGAACAAAGCAGCAGAUCGGAAUAGCAAACGUUUAAACUCCAGUCAC
rnacentral:misc_RNA from 1 species